UACGUAGGGGGCUAGCGUUGUCCGGAAUCAUUGGGCGUAAAGCGCGUGUAGGCGGUUCGGUAAGUCCGCUGUGAAAGUCGGGGGCUCAACCCUCGGAUGCCGGUCGAUACUGCCGGACUAGAGUUCGGAAGAGGCGAGUGGAAUUCCCGGUGUAGCGGUGAAAUGCGCAGAUAUCGGGAGGAACACCUAUGGCGAAGGCAGCUCGCUGGGACGUUACUGACGCUGAGGAGCGAAAGUGUGGGGAGCGAACAGG
rnacentral:rRNA from 1 species